rnacentral:rRNA from 1 species
GUUGAACGCUGGCGGCGGGCUUAACACAUGCAAGUCGAGCGGAUGAGGGGAGCUUGCGCCGGGAGUUAGCGUCGGACGGGUGAGUAAUGCCUAGGAGUCUGCCGGGCUGGGGGGGAUAAUGUCUGGAAACGGGUGCUAAUACCGCAUGAGUCGUGAGGGAGCAAGUGGGGGGGGUUCGGAAGGCUAGCUAGCAGGUGAGCGUAGGUCGGAUUAGUUAGUUGGUGGGUUAAGGGCCUACCAAGGCGACGAUCCGCAACUGGUCUGAGAGGAUGAGCAGUCACCCUGGAACGGGACCACGGUCCAUCCUCCUGCGAUAGGGACCAGUCGCGAACAUUGGACAGUGGGCGAAAGCCUUAUCCAGCCAUGCCGCGCGUGUGACGAAGGUCUUCGGAUCGUAAAGAACUUUAAGUUGGGAGGAAGGGCAGUAAGUUAAUACCUUGCUUUUUUGACGGUAACAACAGAAUAAGCACCGGCUAACUUCGUG